UGGCGUUCUUAGUUGGUGGGUUGCCUUGUCAGGUUGAUUCCGGUAACGAACGAGACCUCGGCCUGCUAACUAGCUUCGGGGGGCUUUUGCCCCGCCGACGCUUCUUAGAGGGACUGCUGGCGUUCCAGCCAGCGGAAGCGCGAGGCGAUAACAGGUCUGUGAUGCCCUUAGAUGUUCUGGGCCGCACGCGCGCUACACUGGCGCGGGCAACGAGCUUUCCGUCCCGCCGAGAGGCGCGACGACUCUCCCAACCCGCGCCGUGACGGGGAUAGAUCCUUGGAAUUUUUGAUCUUCAACGAGGAAUGCCUAGUAGGCGCAAGUCAUCAGCUUGCGUCGAUUACGUCCCUGCCCUUUGUACACACCGCCCGUCGCUCCUACCGAUUGGGUGUGCUGGUGAAGCGCUCGG
rnacentral:rRNA from 1 species